rnacentral:rRNA from 1 species
UACGUAGGGGGCUAGCGUUGUCCGGAUUUAUUGGGCGUAAAGAGCGUGUAGGCGGCCAGGUAGGUCCGGUGUGAAAACUCGAGGCUUAACCUCGAGAUGUCAUCGGAAACCAUCUGGCUAGAGUCCGGAAGAGGAAAGUGGAAUUCCUGGUGUAGCGGUGGAAUGCGCAGAUAUCAGGAGGAACACCGGUGGCGAAGGCGGAUCUCUGGGCCUUACCUGACGCUCAGGCGCGAAAGCUAGGGGAGCGAACAGG